rnacentral:lncRNA from 1 species
CGCUAUAAAGUUUUGUCUCUUUUCUUAUUUUUGUCCAUAAAAAUUGUACAAGGUUGCUGUAAAGCAACAUAUAGGAAAUAGGUACAUAGUACAUUCUAUUUGUAUAUAUAUGUGCACACAGUUACAAUGAAAGAUAGAGAAAGCUUUUCCUCUCAUUAGUUUCUUCAUUUUGAAUUCCUACAUGGUAUCAAUAGUCUCACAAUUAGGAGGUUCAUACUUUUCUGAUUUCAUCCUUUUUUUAAUAACUUUUUCAUUCUCCUUUAAAAUCAUGGGAUCUACAUCUGAGGAAACUCGUGCUGACUCUCCCUCUGUCACUGAUAAGUCUCUCCUGCCUUUGUCAUUGAUAACUCUCAUCCUUUUUAUUUAGCACCUUCAGAAUCACCAAGAGCUGUUCUUGUCGCUACCUUUGAUGGUCGAAGCUAUGCUUGAUGGAAAAUGGCAAUGCUUAUAGCACUGUAAGCCAAAAACAAGACUGGUUUUAUUGAUGGAAGCAUCACUGAAUCAGAUCUUGAUUCUCCAAAGUUCAAAUCAUAGAGUCAUUGUAACGACAUAGUCAUCUCUUGGAUUUUGAAUUCUCUCACCAAGAAAAUUGCAGAGACUGUGCUUUACUCGAAACUGAAAAAGAGAUUUGGAAAAGAUUAGAGGAUCGUUUUAGACAACGUAAUGGAGCUCAUCUCUAUCAUUUGCAAAAAGAACUAAGUGGACCCGGUUAGGGAUCUAACGACAUUGCAAUUUACUUCACUGAAAUAAAGAAGUUAUGGGAUGAACUAGAUGCAUUGAAUACUUGUGUGACUUGCAUUUGCUACUGUGAAUGUGGAGGAAAGGCUAAGUUGCACAAGGCACUACAAAAUAAAAGAUCAUCUAGUUUUUGAUGGGACUAAAUGAUGCUUAUGGAUCUAUAAAAAGUAAUAUCCUUAUGAUGUCACCUUUGCCUUCAGUAAAUCAAGCUUACUCCCUUGUCAUGCUAAAUGGAAAACAAAGGGAGGUCAAGGUCAACAAUCAAUUUCCAGGAGACUCUUCUUCUUUCCUGGCAUCAAACACACCAACACAUGAGUCAAAAAUAUGGGAAUACCGAAGUGAGAAACAGAAAAAAGACAUUUGAUGCAAGGAAGAACAACUCAACCUGUGCUUACUGCAAGAAGCUAGGCCACAACAUUGACAAAUGCUAUAGGAUUCAUGGACUUCCCCCUAGUUUCAAGUUCACCAAGC